rnacentral:rRNA from 1 species
UACGAAGGGGGGCUAGCGUUGUUCGGAAUUACUGGGCGUAAAGCGCGCGCAGGCGGUUCUUCAAGUCAGUGGUGAAAGCCCGGAGCUCAACUCCGGAACUGCCAUUGAAACUGUGGAACUUGAGGAUGAGAGAGGUGAGUGGAAUUCCCCAGUGUAGAGGUGAAAAUUCGUAGAUAUUCGCAAGAACACCAGUGGCGAAGGCGGCUCACUGGCCCGAUACUGACGCUGAGGUGCGAAAGCGUGGGGAGCAAACAGG